rnacentral:rRNA from 1 species
CGCAUCUGUGCAUGCAGCAUAUCAAUAAGCGGAGGAAAAGAAACUAACAAGGAUUCCCCUAGUAACGGCGAGUGAAGCGGGAAGAGCUCAAAUUUGAAAUCUUAAAGGGUUUCCCUUUACGAAUUGUAGUUUAAAGAAGUGUUUUCUGUUGAGGUUUUGGUAAAAGUUCUUUGGAAUAGGACAUCAUAGAGGGUGAGAAUCCCGUAUUUGACCCUUUACUUUCAACUUUGUGAUACACUUUCAAAGAGUCGGAUUGUUUGGGAAUGCAGUCCAAAAUGGGUGGUAAAUUUCAUCUAAAGCUAAAUAUUGGCGAGAGACCGAUAGCGAACAAGUACCGUGAGGGAAAGAUGAAAAGAACUUUGAAAAGAGAGUUAAACAGUACGUGAAAUUGUCAAAAGGGAAGCGUUUGACACCAGUGUUGUUUUUCUGAAAAUCAAUUAAAGAACUGUUUAUGCUAAGCUGUUUAGACUUUAUCAGCUAUCUGUUUAGUUUUGAGCUUUUCUUUAAUGCACUUUUCAGUUAACAAGUCAACAUCAAUUUCUUUUGCUGUAAAAAAGCUUGAGGAAGGUGGCUUGAGAUUCGUCUUAAGUGUUUAUAGCCUCUUGCCUAUGCAGUCGGAGAGAUUGAGGUCUGCAGCGUAGAUCCUUCGGGGCUAAAUGCAUUUGUGCUAAGUUAUAGCAUUUUAUAGACAACUUGUUGACUAUGAUUUGUCUUGUAGCUUACUCGCUUAUGUUAUUUUACCUACGCUUAGGAUGUUGACAGCAGUAUAGACUGU